rnacentral:misc_RNA from 1 species
AAGUCGUAACAAGGUUUCCGUAGGUGAACCUGCGGAAGGAUCAUUAUUGAAUAAAUCUGCCUUGGUUGUUGCUGGUCUUUUGACAAUGUGCACGCCUUUGGCAUCUUUAUAUCUCCACCUGUGCACCUUUUGUAGACUUCUUGAUUUGAAGUCUAUGUUUUCAUAUACCCUUAACAAUGUAAUAGAAUGUCAUUAUUAGACUUUCAUUAGUCUUAUAAUCUUUAUACAACUUUCAGCAACGGAUCUCUUGGCUCUC